rnacentral:rRNA from 1 species
UACAGGGACUGCAAGCGUUAUUCGGAUUCACUGGGCGUAAAGGGUGCGCAGGCGGCCGUGUGUGUGAGGCGUGAAAGCCCGGGGCUCAACCCCGGAAUUGCACCUCAAACUACAUGGCUAGAGCAUUGGAGAGGGUAGCGGAAUUCACGGUGUAGCAGUGAAAUGCGUAGAUAUCGUGAGGAACACCAGAGGCGAAGGCGGCUACCUGGACAAUUGCUGACGCUCAGGCACGAAAGCGUGGGGAGCAAAAGGG